GCGAUCUCCAGAAUACUAAACCAGACCGAGAGGAUGGGGGGGAGGGAGGGUUACGUCAACCUUAACAUCUCUACAAUGGACCACCGUGCGUUAAUGCAAACUUCAACACCUUGCAGCGCAAUCAGCAAAUCAACACGGCGCUGACGUCAACGCAGCCAGUCAGCCAGACGAGCAGCAGCAGGCAGGCGGGCAGCCGGCGCAGCUCUCCGCUCCGUACAAACACUAAGAAAGUGAGACACCUAGGGGGCUGUCUCAUGUCAAACGGCUGUGUUACAGUAUGGCCGUGAAAGGUGAGCGACACUGCCCUCCUUCCAGCUGUUUGAAUGCACACGGCAGCCUCCAGCCAAACAGGCUUAAUGGUUAGGCGGUCCUAUAGGAAAAGUCAAGUAUGGAUACUCAACCAUUCACAGUCCAUUCACUGAAACUGUGCUGGUGUUUAAGAGGCAGCAAAGCAGAGCAGGUCAGCUGGGGGAGAACAGUGCAGCUGAUCCAUCCUCCAUGGCGUCUGAAGUUCCUUUUAAAACAUGUGAUUUAUCCUGUAGUUUGAACAUUUAAAGCCAAAUGGAUCAAGCAUGUAAAACUUGACUUAAGCAAGCAAGUCAAAAAUAUAAGAGCAAGAUGUUCAGAGUCUUCACAUUCAUUAUCGACAUCUUAAACCUGGGAGCAGCUGGGACUGAUUUAGUUUUAUUGUGUUUUUAUGCAAGGCUGCAUAAGUUACAAACCAACUUAAUUCUCUAUACAAACCACUGCCACUGUUAUUUUUUAAUAAAUAUGUCAAAGAAAUGCAAAAGCACAAAGGAAGAGCAAAAAACAGAUUGAUCACCUAAUUCAGCACUGUGGAACCUGCCACGGAUGCUCCACAGCAUCACAUCACAGCGGAGCGAAGGUCAUGUGACGGAUACUUCAGCCACGGUCCUCAGCAGAUUCGAGAGCCACGCAACAAUAAGCACUCACGUUCAGAAAGAGUGAGCCUCGCAGCGCCAGCCGCUGGAAACCGCCAGCACUGCUGAGGUGACAGCAAACGUCAAACGCUGUGAAUGUAACACGAGAAGGACUGAAGCUCUUUGUGUGUAGAAACAUGAAGAUGCUGCAUCAUAUCUGAAGCUUGGGUCAUUAUUGAAAUUUGAUUCUCUUAAGAAGGGCACAGUAAUCAAGCACUGGAUUUGAGGGAUUUUGUUCAAACGAAAGUCGUUUUCUUGAGUCUCGUGCAAAAGUAGGCUUGUUGUAAGAUCCUGGCAACAACAUGAAAGAGAAGAAAGGGAACGAGUGUCAGUUGUCGUCUGGCGUGUUCACUGUUCACUGUAGUGGAGGACGGUUGUUCAGUGCAGCACCAGUCCUUCACUGCUCCUCAGCACGCAGCUGCUUUUGUCCUCUCGCUUUUUUCCUGUUGACCAAUAACCACAGAUGCACCUCAUUAUUCGGCCUGAUGCAGCUCCUUUAUAGUGAAAGCACGCUUUAGAGCUUCUCUGAAAACAAACUUGAUUGAUGUUUUUGACUUUAAGAUGAUCACUGGCUGGAUGCAAUGGAUUCAUUUCACUCUGUUUAGUUUCUAUUGAUAAGGUCCCUUUAAGUGCUCCUUGUGAGCUCUUUGAGUUCCUAAAGUCAAAAUAAAUACAAUUUGCCCCACA